rnacentral:rRNA from 1 species
UGGCAUGUUACCCUGGGAGACCGGGGGAUCCUCUUCGGAGGCGUGCACACAGGUGCUGCAUGGCUGUCGUCAGCUCGUGUCGUGAGAUGUUGGGUUAAGUCCCGCAACGAGCGCAACCCACGUCCUUAGUUGCCAUCAUUCAGUUGGGCACUCUAGGGAGACUGCCGGUGAUAAGCCGCGAGGAAGGUGUGGAUGACGUCAAGUCCUCAUGGCCCUUACGGGAUGGGCUACACACGUGCUACAAUGGCGGUGACAGAGGGACGCGAAACCGCGAGGUUGAGCAAAUCCCGAAAAGCCGUCUCAGUUCGGAUUGCACUCUGCAACUCGGGUGCAUGAAGGCGGAAUCGCUAGUAAUCGUGGAUCAGCACGCCACGGUGAAUACGUUCCCGGGCCUUGUACACACCGCCCGUCACACCAUGGGAGUUGGUCUUACCCGACGGCGCUGCGCCAACCGCAAGGAGGCAGGCGACCACGGUAGGGUCAGCGACUGGGGUGAAGUCGUAACAAGGUAAGCGUAGUGCU